AGGGACAGAGGCCUGUUCUAAGUGCCUGACAUGGGGGACCAGCUUAGCUGUUGGCAUGUCACGGCGCUGGCCUAGCCAGGAGCUGGCGACCAAAUAAUAAUAUUGAUAAUGACAAUAUUAAUAACAAGAGCUGAGCUUGACUGAGGCGUCUGCUCUGUGAAGGGAGGAAUGUUGGCUCAUUGCUAAGGUUUCCUCAGCUUGGAGGGAUGUGUGGUUAGACCCAGAGGGGAGGUAACAAGGCAAAAGCAAUGAUGUUACCCAGGUGGUAAAAGAACUUGGGAAAAGGAAAGCGCAAGGUUGAAGUCAUCUUAGCUUGAAUGGAGGUCGAGGUGCAGCUGGGGCAACAGAAACGCUGCUAAUUGCAGAUAGGUUUGCCUAAAGAAUGAGCCAUGAACCCAGACUUGGAAGAUGUGAGCUAUAAUCCCCAGCUUCUUCAGUACCUGCGUGUCCUGAAGUUACCUUACUUCUCUGGACUUUAGUUUCCAUACAGUAAAAUGAAUGGACUGGCAUGAUAUCCUCUUUUAAUGCUACGUUAGAGGUUACUGAUUUUCAGAACUCAAACAAUCAUUGACAACUAUUUAUUGACUACGCUCUAUCUGCCAGGCACCUGGAGGGAUCUCUCAGGAAAAGGAACAUCUUCCAGUUUCUCAGGAUCACGCAGGUUUCUCUCCAGUGGCCACAGCCCAGCUGCAUCUUCAAGGUAUUCUUGUGACUGCACAAAAGUGCUACCUGGAGGGACGACCGCAUUCGCCCUCAAAAUAACAAGGAAGACCAGCUCCUCUGUGGCUACCCUGGUUACGCAGGAGAUACCUCAGAGGUGACCUGAGAGAACUCAGCCCAAUAGGGCUGGCUCCAUGCUGAAUGGCAACCAGUCACCCAAUGAGAGUUGGAAAAAGAGAAAGAAGGU